AUUGAACGCUGGCGGCAUGCCUUACACAUGCAAGUCGAACGGCAGCGGGGGAGAAGCUUGCUUUUCCUGCCGGCGAGUGGCGAACGGGUGAGUAAUACAUCGGAACGUGCCCUGUAGUGGGGGAUAACCAGUCGAAAGAUUAGCUAAUACCGCAUACGACCUGAGGGUGAAAGUGGGGGACCGCAAGGCCUCAUGCUAUAGGAGCGGCCGAUAUCAGAUUAGGUAGUUGGUGGGGUAAAGGCCCACCAAGCCAACGAUCUGUAGCUGGUCUGAGAGGACGACCAGCCACACUGGAACUGAGACACGGUCCAGACUCCUACGGGAGGCAGCAGUGGGGAAUUUUGGACAAUGGGCGAAAGCCUGAUCCAGCCAUUCCGCGUGCAGGAUGAAGGCCCUCGGGUUGUAAACUGCUUUUGUACAGAACGAAAAGGUUUCUACUAAUACUAGGAGCUCAUGACGGUACUGUAAGAAUAAGCACCGGCUAACUACGUGCCAGCAGCCGCCGUAA
rnacentral:rRNA from 1 species